AGCGAACGCUGGCGGCAGGCUUAACACAUGCAAGUCGAGCGGGCCUUUCGGGGUCAGCGGCGGACGGGUGAGUAGCGCGUGGGAACGUGCCCUCUGGUUCGGAAUAACUCAGGGAAACUUGAGCUAAUACCGGAUACGCCCUUUUGGGGAAAGGCUUGCUGCCGGAGGAUCGGCCCGCGUCUGAUUAGCUAGUUGGUGAGGUAACGGCUCACCAAGGCGACGAUCAGUAGCUGGUCUGAGAGGAUGAUCAGCCACACUGGGACUGAGACACGGCCCAGACUCCUACGGGAAGCAGCAGUGGGGAAUAUUGGACAAUGGGCGCAAGCCUGAUCCAGCCAUGCCGCGUGAGUGAUGAAGGCCUUAGGGUUGUAAAGCUCUUUUAUCCGGGACGAUAAUGACGGUACCGGAGGAAUAAGCCCCGGCUAACUUCGUG
rnacentral:rRNA from 1 species